CUAAAUUAUACUACAGAGACAAGUCAGAAUUAGUCAAGUAAUAGUGGUUGGAAAUUGCACUUUUUGUAGUUGAAGGCCAUUUAAGACCUCCAGAGGCAUCCAGAUGUGCAGUGCUUUAGUGAUUGCUGAAAAUGAACAAAUGUGUCACUUUCUGAUGUCUUAUAGUAACGCAAGUUAACGUUGUUUUUGAAAGUCAGUGUGAAACCAAAUAGCAGAAAUGUUUUAUAAAGGUUUUAAGAUGUACAUAUUAGUUUUGUACCACUUUAAAUGACAUUCCUCAAGUCAGUUUUCAAUUAAAAAUAGAACUAGCAGUAUUUUGUGCAUUCAUGUCCUUAGGUUUUAUGAUCUAUUUAAAAGUCUUUCUUUUAAAAUUUAAAUCAAAGGAGUACAUAUGCAUUU